rnacentral:rRNA from 1 species
GAUGAACGCUGGCGGCGUGCUUAACACAUGCAAGUCGAACGAGAAGUGGAGACGGAAACCUUCGGGCGGAAGACUUUAUUUCGAGUGGCGGACGGGUGAGUAACGCGUGGGUAACCUGCCUCAUACAGGGGGAUAACAGUUGGAAACGACUGUUAAUACCGCAUAAGACCACAGCACCGCAUGGUGCGGGGGUAAAAACUCCGGUGGUAUGAGAUGGACCCGCGUUCGAUUAGCCAGUUGGCGGGGUAACGGCCCACCAAAGCGACGAUCGAUAGCCGAUCUGAGAGGACGACCGGCCACAUUGGGACUGAGACACGGCCCAAACUCCUACGGGAGGCAGCAGUGGGGAAUAUUGCACAAUGGGGGAAACCCUGAUGCAGCGACGCCGCGUGAGUGAAGAAGUAUUUCGGUAUGUAAAGCUCUAUCAGCAGGGAAGAAAAUGACGGUACCUGAGUAAGAAGCCCCGGCUAACUACGUG